CACACACACACACACACACAGACACGUGCCCGUACGUCGCCUUAUCCCCUUCGGCUGCAGGCGGUCCCUCUCCCUGGGAGCACUUAGCUAGCUAAUGGGCCUCCCGCCGGCAGGCGCCCCUCCCCCGCCCCUAGCCCUGGGAGACCAGGCGCCUGACACCUCCUUCAAGGACCUAAGCAUCCUGGCCUUCCAGAGCGAGCCCUAGAACAGUCCCUUCCUGUGCUGCCGACCCUAUGAUUGCAGUCUGCCUCUGUGGGCCUCUUUGCUGAAAACUGAAGGUUUGCCUAGAGGGCCAGAGCCUCCUGGGUGUCCCCAAGAAGGAGGUUGCAGAGGGGCUCUGCAGUGCCUGGCCCGCAGCAGGUGCCCUGAAAUCUGUGUUCCAGUGAUGGGAGGAGGGGUUAUCGCGCAUGGGCACUGGGAUGGGUGGGGCCUGCAGCGCCUCCCGCAGGGCUUGGUUGGGGGGGCUCCUGCCUCAGGGCCCCUGUGGGAGCCCCCCCAAUAUAGAGGCGGCGGCAGCAGCAGCAGCAGGUUUAAAGUAGAACUCAUCCAGAGGGGCCAGCCAAGUCACCUAGAAACCCAGAAAGCAAUUGAGCUGGUUCUCCUGGGGGAGGGGUCAGUCAGGGAGGAGCUGCCCUGCAGGCCCCUUUGCCCCAGGCUCUCAGAUCCUCCGGGGGAGCCUUAACCAGCACUGGCCUUCUUCCAAAUCCCCAUCUUAUUGGCCGUCAACCUAGUGAAUCUCCUUGUCUUUGGCUUUGGUUCUGUGGGGUGUGAUUAUUAUCACCACUUGAGGCCCAGAGAGGGAAAGGGACUUGCCCAAGGUCACACAGUUCCGUAGGAGGAUAUCAGCCCUCUGAUUUCCUGUCCCCACUCCCUGCCCUUGAGGAGACAAAGGGAGACAACCAGUGAUCUUACUCUUCUCUCAUCAGAGCUGCAAAGCAUACUACUCCCAGACCCAGUGCCCACCAGACCUCACUUGGAGAACAAAGCCAAGCAGGGUGGAGGCUGGCCUCUGUUCCACAGGCCUGAGUUCACAUCCAGUGCUUUCUAGCAGCAGAACCCAGUUUCACUGUUCAGAAGCUAAGGGUUGUUUGAAGCUGAAGUAAGCAAAGGUAGGAGAUGCCUCACCCCCUAAGGUACUUUGGCAGGAGAAGAGGGAAGGCUGUAGGGAUCUAGGGACCAGUGCAAGGAAAGGGCAUGGGUCAGUUCCAGGACAGGGCUAGCAGGGAUGGAGUCAGGGACCCAGCUGAGGCAUAGGCCUUAGGCAGGGAUACUUCAUAGAAGCAGCACACAACAGCUCCUUGGAAAACAGAAUGGGAGCCUGCUUGCAGGGCCUGGGCCUCUUCUCCACCCACCCCUGUCCCCUGAGACCAAGGCAACCCCCCCAUUAGAAGGCUCCUUCCUCCUCUGACACUUUCUUCCAGCACUGGUAAUGGUAAUGAGGUUUCUCGGCAAGCAGUAAUGGUGGAAAGAAGGCAGUCCUUCCGGCCUCUACCCUCGAUUAAGGGAGCGGGCUUGGCCCUCAGGACCCUCCCCAGGGCCUCUGCUUCGGAAAGAGACCGUGGGCCGCCUUAGCUGCACUCUGGUGGGAGGGGGCCAGAACCUUGGGAGGGGUGGGGCUGCGGUCUGAGGCUAGAAGGCACAGGAGCAGGAGCACACCCCAGCCCCAGGAGGACUCUGUCGGAGGAGCAAUGGCUAGAUCGGCACAGGAACACUGAGCUCUGGGCUCCAGCACAAGAAGGUGAGGGUGGUCAGCCUCCAGGAGGAGGCUCGGAACAGGUAAGUGACUUGCCCCUGGCCAGGAUCUGAACCUAGUCCUCCACGUCCAAACCCAGGCAGUGCAGGGCAGCCUGGCUUCCAGAAGGCGCAGGUCAGCAUGCCCAUUCUGUUCUCUGGGUGGGUAGCCAUGGGAAGGGACAGACAGACAGGAAAGUCAACCCGAGGAAUCUGGGUGUGUUCUCAGGGUGGUACAGAUGGUGACCAGAAGGAAAGGCAGAGAGGGAAUGCUGGAGAGAACCCUUAAAGGGGGAUCCAACAUUUGAACUUGACUGGAAACCUUUACACCAACCCUGAGGGGAAGAGGGACAAGACCAGUACUCAUAAUCAGCAACUUGGGGACACUGAGAUCUGUAGGCACUACUCCCACAAUAGCUGUUGGGUACUAAAAUCCAUUCAAGUAUGUCCCCUCUCUAAUCCAGGAGCACCAUAAAUUCUGAAUCAAUACUGGGGUUCACAAAGCUGGCCUGCCCUGAUGGGGUGAGGUGGGGCAUGGUGGGGAAUUUGGACUUGGGUAAAAUGACCCUCAAGCAGGCCUGCAGCCAGAGGCCAGGCUCUAGAUGGGUGGGUCCUGCCUAAUCUGCAAGAGCAAGGGUCAGCCUUGCUCCUGCAGGCUGGCUGAAGGAGGCUAAGGCCAGGGGAUGAGCUGGGGAGCGAGGUUCCCUCACUCUACCCUUCCCUUGGACUAAGCCCCACCCCACUUUCCUCAACAAGAGACCCCACCUGUGUCUUCUCUUUGUCUCUUUUCCCAAUUACAGAGUAAAGGAUGAACUUGAAGUCCUGGGUUCAAGAUUGGCUCAGCACCUGCUGUGUGGCCUUGAGCCAAUCCCACCCCUCUCUAAACCCUACCAGUGUAGAGGGCUCUAUCCUGCAUGGGAAGAAAAAGUGUCUGUGAGGGGCUGGGACUUACUACAUCUGGGAUCCUGAGACCCUGUUUGGAACUGUGUGGAGCUGCCUGCUAAGCGUCUGAUAAUUCUAGGCACUGGGGUUCUGCUGGAACCAGGUAACUUUCUAAUACAGUGGGUUUGCAGAGAAGCAGACUCUAUCCGGAGCAUCAGCAACAAGGCCAGCACAGCUCUCCACCCGUAUUCUAGAAGUGGGAGACAAUGAACGAACGAAUGAAUGAGUCAGUUUGAAGAUACAGAGAAUCAAACAUUGAGGGAACAGGAUGCUCAGCCUGCUUAAGAGAGGUGUGAGGGACAGAGGUGCUACCCUCACGGUAGAACCACUGGGUGAGGGUCCCAAUAAACGCUCCUUAGGGGUCAGCUGUUACUAUUA